AUACGUAGGGGGCGAGCGUUGUCCGGAAUUACUGGGUGUAAAGGGCGUGUAGGCGGGGAUGCAAGUUACCGGUAAAAACCCGAGGCUCAACCACGGGCUUGCCGAUAAAACUGUAUCUCUUGAGUAUAGGAGAGGGAAGUGGAAUUCCCGGAGUAGCGGUGAAAUGCGUAGAUACCGGGAGGAACACCAGUGGCGAAGGCGGCUUCCUGGCCUAUCACUGACGCUGAGGCGCGAAAGCUAGGGGAGCGAACGGGAUUAGAUACCCCGGUAGUCCUAGCCGUAAACGAUGGUCACUAGGUGUGGGUGGUGGUCAAGCCAUCCGUGCCGGAGCUAACGCAAUAAGUGACCCACCUGGGGAGUACGGCCGCAAGGUUGAA
rnacentral:rRNA from 1 species